rnacentral:rRNA from 1 species
CCUACGGGAGGCAGCAGUGAGGAAUAUUGCGCAAUGGGCGAAAGCCUGACGCAGCAACGCCGCGUGGGUGAUGAAGGUCUUCGGAUUGUAAAACCCUGUCAGGGGGGAAGAAGGCACCUGGGUGAAUAGCCCAAGGGCUGACGGUACCCCCAGAGGAAGCCACGGCUAACUACGUGCCAGCAGCCGCGGUAAUACGUAGGUGGCUAGCGUUGUCCGGAAUCAUUGGGCGUAAAGCGCGCGUAGGCGGCUUGUCAGGUCUGAGGUAAAAUCUCGGGGCUUAACCCCAAGCGUGCAUCGGAAACCGGCUUGCUAGAGUCUGGGAGAGGAGAGUGAAAUUCCUGGUGUAGCGGUGAAAUGCGUAGAUAUCAGGAGGAACACCGGUUGCGAAGGCGGCUCUCUGGAACAGUACUGACGCUGAGGCGCGAAAGCUAGGGGAGCGAACAGGAUUAGAUACCCGGGUAGU